rnacentral:lncRNA from 1 species
AAAAGACACAAAAUGUAAAAAGGUGAGGGUGGGAACGUUUCUCUCGUAUAAAAAAACAGUAUGUAUGUAGUUUAUGGCGGUAAAUGUAGUAUUUUGAUGGCGUGCGAUACAUGAAUGUGUUUCUUUCUUUUUCUUUUCUCAUUGUUUUAGAGUGUUUGAACGAACAGAGAAGAUAAAAGAAAAAGAAAAAAAAAAAAGAGCGAUGUAUGAAACGGGUGUGAAGAAAAUGAAACGCUGAUUGAUCGAUAGUGAACGAUGAGAUAUGGUAAAAGAAAAAGACGGAUCGCUAGAAUUGUUAUAUAUGAUUAAAUAGAGUCGUGGUGUAAGUAUGGCUGCUAAUGUGAUAUAUAUAGGUGAAAAGAAGAGGAAAAAAAAAAAAAGAGAAAAAAUAGAAAAAAAAGAAAGAAAUUGAGUCGCAAAUAGGUUUUCAAAUAGGCUUCAGAAAGUUAUGCCACAGGUAUGUUCUAUGGAGCGUGAUAUUCUCACGUACACCGGCUACGUGGUUGUUCGUGGGGGGUGGGGGGACAGUUUUUCCAGCAUCGAAAUGCGUUUUAUCAUCCUCCAGACACCGUGGAUCGACGAAUCCGUCAAUAUCUGUUUGUAUGGCCUUUGAUCGGACAACACAGAGCAGUCACGUUUCGUUGAUCUCAAGAUGGAAACUUGAGGAUCUUUAAAAACAAACAUCCCGAUGCGGAGGACGCGCUGCAAGGAGUACUUACCAUCGAAAGAGACGUACAAGAGCAUUCGUUUGAAUUACGAAUAUAAUAUUCUUGCAAAUUAAUUACAAAUAUUUUUUUUUUUUAAUUUUCAAAAACGAAAAAAAAUGAUGAUUUACAAAUAUAUAUAUAUAUAUAGCGUCCCUUUUUCCGGUGUAGCACAGAGCCAUAGUCCGUUGCAUACGACGCAAAAAAUGCUGAUUAUUGAAAUGAUAUUUAGAUGAAUGAACAUGUUCGAAUUAUAUUAGUCAAAAUUUCGGAAUCACUAUGGGUAAAAAGAAAGUAUAUUCAUAAGCUUGAUCAAAGAUUUUUUUUUUAAUUAAAAAAUAAAAUUAUAAUUUAUAAAAAGAUAUGUCAAAAGUAAAAUUAUUUAAUUAGUAAGAAAUUGAAUAUAAAUGGUGGAAUUAGGAAAGUGAUUCCAAAUUUUUGACAAAUAUUUUACGAUUUUUUCCAAAGUAGUAUCGUAUUACAGAUACAUUAUUAAUGGAUGGAACGUAGCAUGGCUCUGCGAGUCACUGAAAAGCGGAAAUCAAACUAAAUGGGGCUCAGCACUUGCACUCUGCGACGAUAUUAUCGGGAACGAUAUUACCGAUAGUUCACCAUUCGUGACGUUAAUGCAGCAAAUCGCUUCGCGAUAAUUGGCUCGUACGUCACUUCCAGGUACGCCAGUAUAAAAGGAAUUGAACGCGGCAGCAGAGUGCAGAUCUUGGCCACGGGAUUGUGCUUAGAAGGAUGAUAAACACGAUACUUAAUAAUCAUGACGACCAAGUGGUAUUGAGGCUAAGGUGUACAAAGAAGUAAUAAAUGGGGAAUAUAUGAUGAGAUAUAUUUUCGGUUGCUAUUUUAAAUGCAGACAGCCAGCGACAAAUGGGAAACAAAUGUUGAGCGGAGUUGUGUCUGCAGGAUACUCAGGGUACUGGACCUGGAAAGCAGGACCUGGAAACAAAGGAUUAAGAUAUCCUCUUCCAUCGUGGUAGACGAAGAUGUCCUCCGGCGACUGCACGUUGACGUCGAUCCCUUUGGUACACGCUGAGGUUUUCUUCACUGGCUGUCUAACCUUACUUCACUACGAGAAUAUCUCACCUGUAUCGCUAGAGAGACCGAGGUGGCGGUACACAUCAUCACACGUUGCACUGAUGUGAUAUAAAACCUCGAGACCAUUCGAGGAUGCUCUUCUUUUUUUUUUUUUUUUUUUUUUUUUUUUUUUUUUUUUUUACACAGUUGCAACUCUAUCUAUCUCUUGUAGAGAUAAAACUUUCAUUGCUGCACCACCACCUCUUUCAUAAUACUUUUCUGGCGUCGACGUACCGGAAGAACGAUCAUUAGAUCCUUAUUUAUAUUAUACAACUUAAAUUAAUAUAAUUUAUCCAUUGCUGAUAAAUAUAAAUAAUAGAGAUUAUAAAGAUUGUAUAUAAAAGAGAGAUUGAAAAUGUGAUUGUUAUUAAGUACGUGAUGUAAGAGUGAUGCGAGAAAUGGAAAGAAAAGAUUUCAAAAAUGUUUGUUAAUAAAUUUUAUAAAAUUAACGUCGGUCGGUUCGUCGAAAAACCAGCGCGUCGCCGCCAGAUGCCAACAGAGUAACAGUAACAAACAUGAUGGGAGGUGAUUCGGCAAUUCGACUAUUCCCCUUAUUAGUCUCACCUUGAUCACCUUCAGAGACACCAAGGCUAAGAAAGGUCAAUUAUAGGAGGAACGAGUGUAACA